AUAAUCUGCCCUUUGGUCUGGAACAACUCGGGGAAACUCGAGCUAAUUCCGGAUAAGACCACAGUAUGAAAAUACAGUGGGAAAAGUGGGGGACCUCUUUGGAGGCCUCAUGCCGAAGGAUGAGUCCGCGGCCCAUCAGGUUGUUGGUGGGGUAAUGGCCUACCAAGCCUAAGACGGGCAGCUGGUCUGAGAGGAUGAUCAGCCACACUGGAACUGAGACACGGUCCAG
rnacentral:rRNA from 1 species